AAAAAAAAUAUUUUUCCUUUUAAAACACUUAAGUCCGCACUAGAGGUUUGGGUAAGGGGUUCAUUUGACUCGGGGAGAAGGUGUUAGGCACUCCCAAAGUUCCGUAAAGAUCAAGGAUACGUACUCGAUCUAAUUGGCUUUUAGAAUAUUCGGAUUAAGAUAAAACACACAAAAGAAGUUAAACACAAAGAGGUUCGAAUUUGUCCAUGUCUAAGAUAAAAGAAAAAUAAGAAUAAAAUAAAAUACUACACAAACUAGUCAUGGCCUCCAGAAUAUUUACAAAGUACUUCAGGGAAUUCCCCGGAUAAUAUAAUCAAGUCCUUUGGGGAAUUCCCCGGAUAAAUUUAACUAAGGGAGGACCUAUCGCCUCGAAGCCAAAAACAAAUAAAAAAUCCUAAGAUUGCCUACUCAAGUAUGGUCAGCCUGAGCAUACUCCUAGCAAUCAAUACGAAAAUAACUAGAACUAAAUAAAAGAGAACUUCAACUCAUGGUCGAUUUCAUUUUUAAUAGUGAACUCCCCAAAUCCCCUUAUCAUUCUAUCUAAAUAAACAUAUAAACAGUGGAAAACACUAGCCAAUUAGGCUAAAUCACAAGACCAAAUUGUGAACAUGGAAACAUAUAAAAACUGAAUAGAAACACCUAAGAGG
rnacentral:lncRNA from 1 species